UGAACUAUGCCUGGUCAGGUCGAAGUC
rnacentral:piRNA from 1 species